rnacentral:rRNA from 1 species
CCUACGGGACGCAGCAGUGGGGAAUCUUCCGCAAUGGGCGCAAGCCUGACGGAGCAACGCCGCGUGAAUGAAGAAGGUCUUCGGAUCGUAAAGUUCUGUUCUUAGGGAAGAAGUCUUAGGUUGUGAAUAAUGACUUAAGGUGACGGUACCUAUGGAGAAAGCUCCGGCUAAAUACGUGCCAGCAGCCGCGGUAAUACGUAUGGAGCAAGCGUUAUCCGGAUUUACUGGGUGUAAAGGGAGCGUAGGCGGCCCUGUAAGUCUGAUGUGAAAAUUUGGGGCUCAACCCCAAACGUGCAUUGGAAACU